GCGCCAGUGGUUUAGUGGUAAAAUCCAUCGUUGCCAUCACGACUCAGUGAUAAACUCGAUGGGCCCCGCGUUCGAUUCGCGGCUGGCGCA